GCCUCUUUAGCUCAGUUGAUUAGAGCGCUGCACCGAAAUCGCAGGGCGUAGGUUCAAUUCCUACCAGAGGAC
rnacentral:tRNA from 1 species